GGGAAUGUGGCUUAGUGGUAGAGUGCUUGCCUAGUAUGCAUGUAGCCCUAGGUUCUAUUCCCCAGUACCA
rfam:Dipodomys ordii contig_67966, whole genome shotgun sequence.